UUCACUUCUUGUUUUUCAUCGCCCCGAUUCAGAACCCAGACGAAGACAAGUUUUGGUGCUGGGAUUUAUGCCCAAUCGAUCUGAAGAUGCAACUUGGAGAUGGAAGCAGCUAUGUCUUCUGCGAGACAAGACUUCUCCACCUUUGAAGCUUGGUCUUGGCUUUAUUGCUUCUCACUAUGAAGAGUUAGAGUGAUUUCGAAGGAGUACCCACUACUUACGAGCUUAUUUCUUCACCUUGGGUGUUCAAUUCGGCUGCCGCAUCCUAUCGAACUGGUGUCGUGUUAUCAUUCUGUAGUAGCAAAGUUAAUUACCCUUCUUUCUAGCUUCAUGCAUGUUAUUUGAAGAAGAAUAUGUCUUUUGCUUUGGGACUUGAUUCACUGAAACUCUUAGCUCCAGUUUUAACAGUAGGUAUAUUAGAUAGAAAACCACUUGGCCUUCUAUCGCGGCCUGUUAAUCACUGCCUUGGAACCCCAGUAUUGUUUUUGCUUUGAUGCUUUUGGUUUAAAUGUAAAAGCCUCCUCUUUUAUCUGUAAAGAAACAAAACUGGCUUAUAUUAAUUUUGCUUCUUUUGUCUUUUCUUCUUUGUGGUAUAAUCACACUCCAGCACACUUGCACAAAGGGGAAGGCAUAGUUAAUUAACAUUCAUCCCUGGAAGACCACAAACGUAGAUCUUUCUUAUUUUGCUUUCUCAUGUUGGCACCUCUUCACUACUUUUAAUUUUGUUUUCUUUUGUUGGCCACCCUCUGACACCAAGCACAUAUUCAUUAAAAAUUCCUUCAAUCUUCAACACUAGCACCGCAUUUAUUCUUCUCUUUUUGUGCUUUGUCAACUACUGGAAACAUUUUGUUCACAGAACACAAUGCUUUUGAUUCUUUGUACAAAGCAAGGACAUCAGCUGCAGUCAAAGUUCCAGAGUUUCAAAUUGAAGGCAUAUGAGGCUGGAGCAAAUUUGGAGUCAAGCAUCUUUGACACGUUGCUGGAAACUUGAGAGUAAGCAUCAUGCUAUUGGAACUUGAGAGAGAGCAAGAACGCCGCUGGGAUUUUAAGAGAACAAGGACUGCGUCGGUGGUAUUUGGAGGGCCAACAAGAGAACAGGGAUUUGAAAGAGCAAGGCCUGCAUCACUGGGAUUGAUUUAAGAGAGCAAAGCCUUCUGCCCCGAUUUGAGUUCAUCAGGACGCUGCCCGGCAUGGUUCAUCGGGACGCUGCCCGGCAUGAGUUCAUCGGGACGCUGCCCGGCAUGGUUUCAUCGGGAUGCUGCCCGGCAUGGUUUCAUCGGGACGCUGCCCGGCAUGUUCAUCGGGACGCUGCCCGGCAUGGUAUUUUUGUUCUUUUGUUUUUACUUUGGUAUGGCAUCGUUGAGAGGCCUGUGAACAUCCGAAAAGGUGGUGGAGCCUGUGAACAUUCAAAGAGAAGGUGGAGCAUGGAAGGGAGGAGAUCUCAACCUUUGUGGUGUCUUCAAUAUCUCCUCUGAACUUUGUCUUCUAAGUUGCUUUCUUGCCUUCGCUGCUUCCUCCCUCUGCAAUUCCACGCUGCUGUGCUCCUGACGUUUUUGUCCUCCGUUCCCUCCUCACGUUGCGGCCCCCCUUUUCUUCUUUUCAUGUAGUGCUUUUAUAUUGCACCGAUCAUGAGUUUGAUUUGUAUAAGACAUGGAGUUUUAGAGUUCAACUCGGAGUGAACUAGCUGGACAUUUUAUCUCCUUUUUCUUUUGACGUGAA